rnacentral:lncRNA from 1 species
UAACAAUGGAGAUUCAUAGAAUAGGAAAAACCUCACCAAGUCACCAUCUAUCUGUCCCACUCUCAACUUCAAAUUCAACACCUCUACUACUUCUCCUCCUCACCAAUCCCCCAAACCCAGAAGAACGAGUUGAUGACGACGAGCUUCUGUUAAAAGAUCCGGUAGGAUGAGAUGAAGAAGCAGAAUUUGACCGAAAUCGUAACAGGGAAAGAAACCCACGGACAAUCCUUCUCAAUCCGCCGCCGUUUCCUCUGCCACGGCUACUUCUGCUCACCCACGAAACCCUCCUCGGAACCCCACCUCCAUUACCUCCGCCGUUAAAUCCUCCGUCCAUCUCGGUGAACACCCCCGGGAACUCCCUUUCUCCUCCUCCUCUCCUUCCGCCGCCGAAUCUCCCCACCGCGAAUCCUCCUCCGGGGAGCCUCCAUAUCGUCAGCCCAACAACUUCCUCCUCUUCGUUGGGAUUCUCGCCUCCGCCGCCGCCUUCUUGCGGAUCAGCC